UACGUAGGGUGCGAGCGUUAAUCGGAAUUACUGGGCGUAAAGCGUGCGCAGGCGGUCUGUUAAGACCGAUGUGAAAUCCCCGGGCUUAACCUGGGAACUGCAUUGGUGACUGGCAGGCUUUGAGUGUGGCAGAGGGAGGUAGAAUUCCACGUGUAGCAGUGAAAUGCGUAGAGAUGUGGAGGAACACCGAUGGCGAAGGCAGCCCCCUGGGCCAAUACUGACGCUCAUGCACGAAAGCGUGGGGAGCAAACAGG
rnacentral:rRNA from 1 species